rnacentral:rRNA from 1 species
AUGCAAGUCGAACGGUGAAGCCCUUUCGGGGGUGGAUCAGUGGCGAACGGGUGAGUAACACGUGAGCAACCUGCCCCCUACUUCGGGAUAAGCCUUGGAAACGGGGUCUAAUACCGGAUAUGAGCGCCUGCCGCAUGGUGGGUGUUGGAAAGUUUUUCGGUGGGGGAUGGGCUCGCGGCCUAUCAGCUUGUUGGUGGGGUAAUGGCCUACCAAGGCGUCGACGGGUAGCCGGCCUGAGAGGGCGACCGGCCACACUGGGACUGAGACACGGCCCAGACUCCUACGGGAGGCAGCAGUGGGGAAUAUUGCACAAUGGGCGAAAGCCUGAUGCAGCGACGCCACGUGAGGGAUGACGGCCUUCGGGUUGUAAACCUCUUUCAGCAGGGAAGAAGCGUAAGUGACGGUACCUGCAGAAGAAGCGCCGGCUAACUACGUGCCAGCAGCCGCGGUAAUACGUAGGGCGCAAGCGUUGUCCGGAAUUAUUGGGCGUAAAGAGCUCGUAGGCGGUCUGUCGCGUCUGGUGUGAAAUCCCAUGGCUCAACUGUGGGCUUGCAUCGGGUACGGGCAGACUAGAGUGCUGUAGGGGAGACUGGAAUUCCUGGUGUAGCGGUGGAAUGCGCAGAUAUCAGGAGGAACACCGAUGGCGAAGGCAGGUCUCUGGGCAGUUACUGACGCUGAGGAGCGAAAGCAUGGGGAGCGAACAGGAUUAGAUACCCUGGUAGUCCAUGCCGUAAACGUUGGGCACUAGGUGUGGGGCCAGUUCCACUGGUUCUGUGCCGCAGCUAACGCAUUAAGUGCCCCGCCUGGGGAGUACGGCCGCAAGGCUAAAACUCAAAGGAAUUGACGGGGGCCCGCACAAGCGGCGGAGCAUGCGGAUUAAUUCGAUGCAACGCGAAGAACCUUACCAAGGCUUGACAUGUACGAGAAAGCCCCAGAGAUGGGGUUCUCUUUGGACACUCGUACACAGGUGGUGCAUGGUUGUCGUCAGCUCGUGUCGUGAGAUGUUGGGUUAAGUCCCGCAACGAGCGCAACCCUUAUCCUAUGUUGCCAGCGGGUUAUGCCGGGGACUCAUGGGAGACUGCCGGGGUCAACUCGGAGGAAGGUGGGGAUGACGUCAAAUCAUCAUGCCCCUUAUGUCUUGGGCUUCACGCAUGCUACAAUGGCCGGUACAGAGGGCUGCGAUACCGUGAGGUGGAGCGAAUCCCAAAAAGCCGGUCUCAGUUCGGAUCGGGGUCUGCAACUCGACCCCGUGAAGUCGGAGUCGCUAGUAAUCGCAGAUCAGCAACGCUGCGGUGAAUACGUUCCCGGGCCUUGUACACACCGCCCGUCAAGUCACGAAAGUUGGUAACACCCGAAGC